rnacentral:lncRNA from 1 species
UUCGUUGCUAGUUUCGCUGCACCCAAGGUCCGUGGGAGGAGCCAGGAUCAUGCUCCAACAAAUUUUUUAAUGCUCCCGAUCAAAAGAUCAUCAUGGAGGAUAGUGAUCGAUCUAGUUAGAUCGAUGCACGAUCACCUUCUUUACAGGCAGAUGAGCCUCGAGUCUAUAGUAUGGUGAUACUAAGGUGAUAAUGUAGGUGGUUGUUAGAGAACAACUUG